AGUCGUAACAAGGUUUCCGUAGGUGAACCUGCGGAAGGAUCAUUGUAGAGUUCCUUUUCGAACCGUUGUGAAAUUGUGCUAAUACUCGACGAGUACCACGUGUUUGUGCUGUUAGUGCAUGCGUUGUCUUGGCGGGUUCCCUUUUGCUGCCUUCGUGUUGCUUUAUUUUAAGUGUAACGAAGAGCAGAAAUAAGACACCGGCACAGUUUGUGCCAAGGACUGUUAUUGUUGGAGUGCAUUGCCAUUGUUUUGAUGUGCUUUGUGCUAUUCUAGCGAGCGUCUGAAUGACUCCUGGCAAUGGAUAUCUUGGCUCUCGU
rnacentral:misc_RNA from 1 species